GCCAGUGAUAAACUGGAGGAAGGUGGGGAUGACGUCAAGUCAUCAUGGCCCUUACGACCAGGGCUACACACGUGCUACAAUGGCGCAUACAAAGAGAAGCGACCUCGCGAGAGCAAGCGGACCUCAUAAAGUGCGUCGUAGUCCGGAUUGGAGUCUGCAACUCGACUCCAUGAAGUCGGAAUCGCUAGUAAUCGUGGAUCAGAAUGCCACGGUGAAUACGUUCCCGGGCCUUGUACACACCGCCCGUCACACCAUGGGAGUGGGUUGCAAAAGAAGUAGGUAGCUUAACCUUCGGGAGGGCGCUUACCACUUUGUGAUUCAUGACUGGGGUGAAGUCGUAACAAGGUAACCGUAGGGGAACCUGCGGUUGGAUCACCUCCUUACCUGAAAGAA
rnacentral:rRNA from 1 species